GUGAGGUAACGGCUCACCAAGGCAUCGACGGGUAGCUGGUCUGAGAGGAUGAUCAGCCACACUGGGACUGAGACACGGCCCAGACUCCUACGGGAGGCAGCAGUGGGGAAUAUUGCACAAUGGGCGCAAGCCUGAUGCAGCGAUGCCGCGUGCGGGAUGAAGGCCCUAGGGUUGUAAACCGCUUUCAGUAGGGAAGAAAAUGACGGUACCUACAGAAGAAGGUGCGGCCAACUACGUGCCAGCAGCCGCGGUGACACGUAGGCACCAAGCGUUGUCCGGAUUUAUUGGGCGUAAAGAGCUCGUAGGCGGUUCAGUUAGUCGGGUGUGAAAACUCUGGGCUCAACCCAGAGACGCCACCCGAUACUGCUGUGACUAGAGUACGGUAGGGGAGUGGGGAAUUCCUGGUGUAGCGGUGAAAUGCGCAGAUAUCAGGAGGAACACCAGUGGCGAAGGCGCCACUCUGGGCCGUAACUGACGCUGAGGAGCGAAAGCAUGGGUAGCAAACAGGAUUAGAUACCCUGGUAGUCCAUGCCGUAAACGUUGGGCACUAGGUGUGGGUCUCAACUAACGAGAUCCGCGCCGUCGCUAACGCAUUAAGUG
rnacentral:rRNA from 1 species